UACGGAGGGUGCUAGCGUUGUUCGGAAUUACUGGGCGUAAAGGGCGCGUAGGCGGCCGUUUGCGUCGGAUGUGAAAGCCCGGGGCUCAACCUCGGAACGGCAUUCGAUACGGGACGGCUGGAGACCGGGAGAGGAGAGUGGAAUAGCCAGUGUAGAGGUGAAAUUCGUAGAUAUUGGCUGGAACACCGGUGGCGAAAGCGGCUCUCUGGCCCGGUUCUGACGCUGAGGCGCGAAAGCGUGGGGAGCAAACGGG
rnacentral:rRNA from 1 species